rnacentral:rRNA from 1 species
GACGAACGCUGGCGGCGUGCUUAACACAUGCAAGUCGAGCGGUAAGGCCCUUUCGGGGGUACACGAGCGGCGAACGGGUGAGUAACACGUGGGUGACCUGCCCUCAGCUCUGGGAUGAGCCUGGGAAACCGGGUCUAAUACCGGAUAUGACUUCAUGACGCAUGUUGUGGAGUGGAAAGCCUUGUGCGGCUGAGGAUGGGCCCGCGGCCUAUCAGCUUGUUGGUGGGGGAUGGCCUACCAAGGCGACGACGGGUAGCCGGCCUGAGAGGGCGACCGGCCACACUGGGACUGAGAUACGGCCCAGACUCCUACGGGAGGCAGCAGUGGGGAAUCUUGCGCAAUGGGCGAAAGCCUGACGCAGCGACGCCGCGUGA